CCGGCCGGUGGCGGCGGGGGGGCAGCGGUGAAGAUCUCCAGGUGGCGCCGGGAGAUGAAGCUGGAGUGGCCCAUGCUCACGUCCACCGAGCCCUGCGACGAGUUGCGGCCGAUGGUCACUGAGCGCUUCUUCAUCAGACAAGUACUAAAGCACAGAGGCCAGUGACUUGCUUGACCUUGCAACGACUGGAUGAGCUAAGACUCCCGUGCACCAAGAAAGGAGACAAGAUGCAACAGAAGCUGCUGGAGUCAGUAGAUACUGACCCUGUCAUGAGUGGGGCCAACAAAUAAAGGUAUCUUACAGAUUUCCUGAGGGAGCUGCAGGAGGAAGCAGAAUACUCUGGUAUCGCAGACUUGCACUGGCAGAUUCUGAUCAGUAUAACUGGCAUAGCCACUGAUGCCCCCUACGUAGACUGCUACUACUGGCACAGGGCCAUAAGCACAGCCUGGUGGGACAAUGUUAUCAUGCAGACCUGGAAGGACCAGCAGUGAGUCCAGAACUUUCGCAUGAAGAAAGCCACAUUUCCGGAGCUUUGUGAACAGCUCACCCCCAACCCUCCAAUGUGAAGAGAGACAUCUGAGGUCAUCCUUGCCAAUCCAGAAGCGGGUUGCUAUAACCAUCUGGAAGCUGGCUACUCCAGACUGCUACAAAUUCGUUGCCAACCAGUUUGGGGUUAGAAAGCUGACUGUUAGUAAAGUAGUGGCAGAGGCAACUGAGUGGCUUACCCCAAGGUGGCAUGCAUUAAAGAUAUUCCAGAGGUAAUUGCUGGCUUUGGGAGAAUGGGGUUUCCUAAUUGUGCUGGGGCCAUUAAUGGAACUCAUGUGCCCAUAGUGUACCCUCCUCAAGGAGCAUGAGUACCUAAACUGCAAAGGGUACUCAUUAGUUAUGCAGGCACUAGUGGACUAUAGAGGCAGAUUUCCGAAUGUCAGCGUUGUCUGUACUGGAAAAGUUUGUGAUGCCAGAGUUUCUUGCCACUUUAGAGUCUGUAUUCAUGGCCACACUGGGAUAUUAUUCCCACCAAAUGACAUUGACAGAAACGAUGUUGCUUUCACCAUUGCUAUUCUGGGGGACCCCACAUACUCCCUUUUGCUUUGGCAUUUGAAACCAUUUCAGAGACCCUGGCAAAAGGUUUAAUUGCACACUCCGCAUGUGUAGAAUGGUUGUUGAAUGUGCUUUUGGCAGAUUAAAAUCACAUUGGAGGUGUCUACAAUCUCAUUUGGAUGCCAGUGUCAUCAACAAUGUCAAUUACUGUGGCUUGCUGUGCUCUUCACAGCCUUUGCGAAACCUGAGGUGAGCUACUUCCCCCUGACUGGACCUCUGAUAGCUAGGGGAUACUGGAUCAGUACCCUCAACCAGAAAGUACAGGUACCACUGUGGGAGCUGGUUGCACCAGGCAGCAGAAGUCACAGAUGCUUUGUGUUCUCACUAAGUGAACUCGCAUGGCCCAAAGGAUGAGGAGGAAUAGUACCUUUAGGAAUGUGCUUGUGGGGAAAAAGUGGCUUAUUAAUUGUUUUGAGGGCGGGGGGCACCGCUUGGGAGGGGUGUAGGCUUGAUUCACAUGCAAUGCAAGUCUGAAUGACAUGAUGAAUAAUGAACUUGGUUGUGGAGGGAGACCAGAAUGGGUGUACAGCCAGUUUAUUGAAAUGUGAAUUGAUGUACCUUACCUAAAUAAAAGAAGCAUUGG